rnacentral:rRNA from 1 species
AGAGUUUGAUCCUGGCUCAGGAUGAACGCUGGCGGCGUGCCUAACACAUGCAAGUCGAGCGAGAAAUCUUGGAAUGAGACUUCGGUUAAGUGAAGAGAUGGAAAGCGGCGGACGGGUGAGUAACGCGUAGGCAACCUGCCUUAUGCAGAGGGAUAGCCAUUGGAAACGAUGAUUAAAACCUCAUAAAGCCAUUUUAUCACAUGGUAAGAUGGCCAAAGAUUUAUCGGCAUAAGAUGGGCCUGCGUCUGAUUAGCUAGUUGGUGGGGUAACGGCCUACCAAGGCGACGAUCAGUAGCCGACCUGAGAGGGUGAACGGCCACAUUGGAACUGGGACACGGUCCAAACUCCUACGGGAGGCAGCAGUGGGGAAUAUUGCACAAUGGGCGAAAGCCUGAUGCAGCAACGCCGCGUGAGCGAAGAAGGUCUUCGGAUCGUAAAGCUCUGUCCUUAGGGAAGAUAAUGACGGUACCUGAGGAGGAAGCCCCGGCUAACUACGUGCCAGCAGCCGCGGUAAUACGUAGGGGGCAAGCGUUAUCCGGAAUUAUUGGGCGUAAAGAGUGCGUAGGUGGUUACCUAAGCAGAGGGUGAAAGGCACUGGCUUAACCAAUGUCAGCCCCCUGAACUGGGUACCUUGAGUGCAGGAGAGGAAAGCGGAAUUCCUAGUGUAGCGGUGAAAUGCGUAGAUAUUAGGAGGAACACCGGUGGCGAAGGCGGCUUACUGGGCUUUUACUGACGCUGAGGCUCGAAAGCGUGGGGAGCAAACAGGAUUAGAUACCCUGGUAGUCCACGCUGUAAACGAUGAUUACUAGGUGUGGGGGGACUGACCCCUUCCGUGCCGCAGUUAACACAAUAAGUAAUCCACCUGGGGAGUACGGCCGCAAGGUUGAAACUCAAAGGAAUUGACGGGGGCCCGCACAAGCAGUGGAGUAUGUGGUUUAAUUCGAAGCAACGCGAAGAACCUUACCAGGUCUUGACAUCGAGUGCAUAACUAAGAGAUUAGUGAAAUCCCUUCGGGGGCACUUAGACAGGUGGUGCAUGGUUGUCGUCAGCUCGUGUCGUGAGAUGUUGGGUUAAGUCCCGCAACGAGCGCAACCCUUACCUUUAGUUGCUACGCAAGAGCACUCUAAAGGGACUGCCGUUGACAAAACGGAGGAAGGUGGGGAUGACGUCAAAUCACCAUGCCCCUUAUGACCUGGGCUACACACGUACUACAAUGGCAAUCAACAAAGAGAAGCAAGACAGUGAUGUGGAGCAAAUCUCAAAAAAUUGUCCCAGUUCAGAUUGUAGGCUGCAACUCGCCUACAUGAAGUCGGAAUUGCUAGUAAUCGCGGAUCAGAAUGCCGCGGUGAAUACGUUCCCGGGCCUUGUACACACCGCCCGUCACACCAUGGGAGUCGGUAACACCCGAAGUCGGUAGUCUAACAGCAAUGAGGACGCCGCCGAAGGUGGGAUUGAUGACUGGGGUGAAGUCGUAACAAGGUA